UGUAGAUGGCAUGACACAUGAAGCCUGGUCUCAUCAGAUCUCAGAAGCUGAACACAGUUGGGCCAGAUCAGAACCAUAAUAGGAGACCUCCAAGGAAAACCAGGUUCCUGCUGUCA
rfam:Lepisosteus oculatus unplaced genomic scaffold TNK110, whole genome shotgun sequence.